GUAACCAUACAUCUCACUAAUCCAUCCAGAUUCAUAGAUAUCUCCUGUUAUGUUCUUGGACCAAUGAGAUCUAUCAAGCCGGACUUCCAUGGUUUUGUGCAGCCACUGCAGCGCAAAUUUCCGUAGAUCAUCUACAUGCAUAAUGAUUACGCCCCCAACCUUGUCACAAGCUUCAGGAUGGCGAGUGUGGAGCUUUGCCAGUAUGUUGUCACAGCCGAUAAGGUAGUCAUAAGGAGUUGAAGCAGGUCGACUGCGGCCUGCAUUGAAUUCCCAUGGUGUUAUUGGUCCUCUCAUGAUCAUAUCGGCAUCAAGAAUUACAAUGUAUUCAGCAUCUGUCUUCACAUGAUUCAUCCAAUGAAGAACUGCAGCUGGCUUAUUGAUAGCUGGAUACCAAUCUCCUGUUAAUGGAUGUCGGCUCAUGGACGGUACAUAGUGGGUGGGAGCUAGAUCAUGGCCUUUGUAUUGCUUUAAAUCUUCAUCGGUACAGCUUAGAAGCCUUGUGAUGUUCCCUGGCUGACCACUCUUGUAAAAACUGUGCACAAGCCCCACUGUUUGCCAAUCAAAGUAAGAUGAGCAUUCUGUAGAGAAAAUGGUGUGGAUUUUCGGGUGUGGCUUUUCAGGCUCAUUAACAACUUCUUUAUGAAUUUUA
rnacentral:misc_RNA from 1 species